rnacentral:sRNA from 1 species
ACAGGAAAUUGACUUAGGCACAGGAACUUGCUAAUCUCUUUUGUCACAUUCGGAUUGCUCCUGCUGCCUCACACACACUAAACCCAACCAUCUUGGGGUGGACUCCCUGCCAGCCCAACAGUUGUAUUUUCAGUUCUUCCAGUGUGAAUCAGUUAAUAUUAUCGGGAACGAGGGAGAGGUUGAUCCUAGGAGGAAAUCAACCACAGUGAAAAGGCUUGGGCCGCUUUUGUUUUCACCUCCUUUUGCUGAACAAAUUUGAUUUCCGGAGUCAGUCAUUUUACUGUCAAGAAAUUUCUGCGGCAUUCUGCAACAGGGAUAUUUGCAUUUCAACAAAGUAUCAAACCUCAAGAGAAAGGGCUGCUCCAAGGAUGGAAGAUAUAUUUGGUAGGGAGAGGACUUUUUGUCACCCUUGAUUCACUCCAUGUGUGGAAUGCUUUUACAAGGUCCAAAACUUCUGUCCUUAGUAUGAACAUUUGGGAGGCAAGUGAGUGAUAUGACCCAUGGCUGCCUUUUUGUCCGGCAAAGCACGAGGAUGCUUUGGAGAACGGAAGGAUUUCAU